AAUAACUUACCAAACAUGAAAGUGAAUUUUUUAUUAUAAAUAUGUGUAUCAGCAAGAGUGCUGAGUGCAUCCAAAAUUCAAUACAAUUGCUCACUAGAUAAAUACAACCUAUUAAACGCAGAAAAUGGAGAAGAAAAUUUUACAAGUGUCAGCUUUGGCUAUCCUUUUCUUCCUUCUUACAUCCUGUAAGUACACGUUCAGGUUCACUUCCUAUGCUAUACUAUGAGAUGUUGUACUAAUUUACGUUUACGUACGCACGUAUGUAGGUGUCAUAUCAUCGACAGCAUCAGAUGUCAUCGCUGACGGCGGAAAGACUAAUGAACUCCACUGUACACAAGACAAAGAUUGUAACAGACUCCUUUGUGUGAAUCCUAAACCCGCAAGGUGUUUGAAUAGUGUUUGUCAAUGUCAGCCCGACGCAAAAAGAUGAACACCUUAAGAAUGGAAAUGGAUUGAAUGUAUUAGCUCAAUGAUUUAUAUGUGUUGGAUCAAGUAAUUAAUAAAAGCUAGCAUCAGUCCCGGCCUUAUCGUAAAUCGGUCCCUUUUUUCGUGUCCUCGCUGAUAGAAAUCACAGCCGAUGUCGUUCCAUUUACAUGAUUAGCGAACACAACGUUAGUAAACCUCGUUCGUCGUUGGAUUUUUUCGUUACUAUUUACAGUGAAGAGUGUUUGAAGGCCUUCGUCAAUUUCGGAAGGAAAUAUUCGAGGGGUCUCUUUUCUUUUUUUAUAAUUGAGGUAAAAAUUCAUUAGUAGAAAUAUAAAUUAAACCAUUUUUUCCCAAAUAAGGGUUGCACAAAUUUGAAAUUUCGCAAAUAGGGUGUUCGAAGAAUUCAAUUAUCGAUCGGGUGGGUUUUUUGGCUGAUUGGAAGAGAUUGUCUCCGUACUAGUGACGAUGUGUGACAUCGCCAUUGACACUAGCGAUUUAUGGUCGACGUGACAAUCCAUGUCAUCAGCCGUUAAGGAAUCCAGACUAAUUAUGAAUUCUAUUUAUGAUAUUACCUUAUAAUCAAUUAUGGUAAUUUUUAUUUCCUUAUACAACAAUGAUAAAUAUGGAGUGUUUUCCAAUUUAGAUAUCCAAAUAUUUCACCUUGUUUCCAUUGACAACACAACUUUAAUUCCAUAAAUAAUAACUUACCAUACAUAAAAUGAAUUUCUUUUAAUAUAAAUAUGUGUACUUGCAACAGUGUCCACUGUCCAGACAUACUGUGGUACAAUUUGGAGUGCAUAAUCCAAAUAUCAUUACUCGCAAGAAAAAAUGGUGAAGAAAAUUCUCCAAUUGUCAUCUUUGGCUAUCAUCUUCCUCCUCCUUACAUCUUGUAAGUAACACACAUUUCAUGUUCACUUCCUAAAUUUAACACUAACUCCAUUUUAGUCAAGUAAAAAAAAUCUGAGAUGUCCAUAUACUGAUUUACACAUAUAUGUAGGUGUUAUAUCAUCACCAUCGUCAAAUGUUAUCAGUGACGGCGUAAAGACUAAUGUACUUCAUUGUACACAAGAUAAAGAUUGUUACCAACUUUCUUGCGUGGAAGGGAAACCCCCAAGGUGCUUGAAUAGUGUUUGUCAAUGUGAGCCGGGCGCGAAAAUAUGAACAACUUGAUAAUCGAUCGAAAUUGACAUGCGGAAAAGAUUGAUGCAAAUAGCAACACCCUUUAUAUGUUGUUGGAUCAAGUAAUUAAUAAAAGCGAGCUUCUAUACUAAACUAUGAAUCUAUAUAUCGCUUAUUCAGUCGUUU
rnacentral:lncRNA from 1 species